GGAGCGCUUAGAAGUGAGAAUGCCGGUGUGAGUAGCGAAAGACGGGUGAGAAUCCCGUCCACCGAUUGACUAAGGUUUCCAGAGGAAGGCUCGUCCGCUCUGGGUUAGUCGGGUCCUAAGCUGAGGCCGACAGGCGUAGGCGAUGGAUAACAGGUUGAUAUUCCUGUACCACCUAUAAUCGUUUUAAUCGAUGGGGGGACGCAGUAGGAUAGGCGAAGCGUGCGAUUGGAUUGCACGUCUAAGCAGUAAGGCUGAGUAUUAGGCAAAUCCGGUACUCGUUAAGGCUGAGCUGUGAUGGGGAGAAGACAUUGAGUCUUCGAGUCGUUGAUUUCACACUGCCGAGAAAAGCCUCUAGAUAGAAAAUAGGUGCCCGUACCGCAAACCGACACAGGUAGUCAAGAUGAGAAUUCUAAGGUGAGCGAGCGAACUCUCGUUAAGGAACUCGGCAAAAUGACCCCGUAACUUCGGGAGAAGGGGUGCUCUUUAGGGUUAACGCCCAGAAGAGCCGCAGUGAAUAGGCCCAAGCGACUGUUUAUCAAAAACACAGGUCUCUGCUAAACCGUAAGGUGAUGUAUAGGGGCUGACGCCUGCCCGGUGCUGGAAGGUUAAGAGGAGUGGUUAGCUUCUGCGAAGCUACGAAUCGAAGCCCCAGUAAACGGCGGCCGUAACUAUAACGGUCCUAAGGUAGCGAAAUUCCUUGUCGGGUAAGUUCCGACCCGCACGAAAGGCGUAACGAUUUGGGCACUGUCUCAACGAGAGACUCGGUGAAAUCAUAGUACCUGUGAAGAUGCAGGUUACCCGCGACAGGACGGAAAGACCCCGUGGAGCUUUACUGUAGCCUGAUAUUGAAAUUCGGCACAGCUUGUACAGGAUAGGUAGGAGCCUUUGAAACGUGAGCGCUAGCUUACGUGGAGGCGCUGGUGGGAUACUACCCUAGCUGUGUUGGCUUUCUAACCCGCACCACUUAUCGUGGUGGGAGACAGUGUCAGGCGGGCAGUUUGACUGGGGCGGUCGCCUCCUAAAAGGUAACGGAGGCGCUCAAAGGUUCCCUCAGAAUGGUUGGAAAUCAUUCAUAGAGUGUAAAGGCAUAAGGGAGCUUGACUGCGAGACCUACAAGUCGAGCAGGGUCGAAAGACGGACUUAGUGAUCCGGUGGUUCCGCAUGGAAGGGCCAUCGCUCAACGGAUAAAAGCUACCCCGGGGAUAACAGGCUUAUCUCCCCCAAGAGUUCACAUCGACGGGGAGGUUUGGCACCUCGAUGUCGGCUCAUCGCAUCCUGGGGCUGUAGUCGGUCCCAAGGGUUGGGCUGUUCGCCCAUUAAAGCGGUACGCGAGCUGGGUUCAGAACGUCGUGAGACAGUUCGGUCCCUAUCCGUCGUGGGCGUAGGAAAUUUGAGAGGAGCUGUCCUUAGUACGAGAGGACCGGGAUGGACAUACCUCUGGUGUACCAGUUGUCGUGCCAACGGCAUAGCUGGGUAGCUAUGUGUGGACGGGAUAAGUGCUGAAAGCAUCUAAGCAUGAAGCCCCCCUCAAGAUGAGAUUUCCCAACUUCGGUUAUAAGAUCCCUCAAAGAUGAUGAGGUUAAUAGGUUCGAGGUGGAAGCAUGGUGACAUGUGGAGCUGACGAAUACUAAUCGAUCGAAGACUUAAUCAA
rnacentral:rRNA from 1 species